UGAACGCUGGCGGCGUGCCUAAUACAUGCAAGUCGAGCGAACGGACGAGAAGCUUGCUUCUCUGAUGUUAGCGGCGGACGGGUGAGUAACACGUGGAUAACCUACCUAUAAGACUGGGAUAACUUCGGGAAACCGGAGCUAAUACCGGAUGAUAUUUUGAACCGCAUGGUUCAAAAGUGAAAGACGGUCUUGCCGUCACUUAUAGAUGGAUCCGCGCUGCAUUAGCUAGUUGGUAAGGUAACGGCUUACCAAGGCAACGAUGCAUAGCCGACCUGAGAGGGUGAUCGGCCACACUGGAACUGAGACACGGUCCAGACUCCUACGGGAGGCAGCAGUAGGGAAUCUUCCGCAAUGGGCGAAAGCCUGACGGAGCAACGCCGCGUGAGUGAUGAAGGUCUUCGGAUCGUAAAACUCUGUUAUUAGGGAAGAACAUAUGUGUAAGUAACUGUGCACAUCUUGACGGUACCUAAUCAGAAAGCCACGGCUAACUACGUG
rnacentral:rRNA from 1 species